GAACUGAGUGACUCCUCCCCCUGGAGGGGGGGAGGGGCAGGUUACUGGUGGAACCGGUUGGCUUCAGGGAGCCAGAAACAAACAUUUAUUACUCAGUCAUUGUAUAUGUCAGACUAGCCAUUCUGGAUCUGAAACCUUUUUUUAACGUCUUCUUGACAAGGAAAAUGGAUGGAAACUGCUCAGUUGUAGGGGUUAAGUACUGACUAUUCCAUCUGAUUGAGAAGAAGGAAAACAAGUCCCUCCAUCUUUUAGCACAGAAACAGAAACUUUCUCCAUCUUCUCCAACUUCUGACAUUAACUGGAUCAGUGUGGGGGAGUCAUCAGAGUGGAACUUCCUCCUCCUAUAAAAAGUACUUUUCACUGACAAAAUCUCCAGAGGAGCUGCUGAUCUGGAACCAAGUUGGGAUGUUUUCUCUGUUAAAUUAAGGUUUUUUCUUCUAAUCAUUGGUUCUCCUAAAGUGGUCUGCUCUCCAUCGACGGUCCAAGCACAUCUGGGUCAGGACGUGGUUCUGUCAUGUCGAGUGGAACCUCCAUCUGACUUGACGAAUGAGACCUUGGAAUGGACAAAUGGAACAGAUGUUGUUCACGUGUAUCGGAGUAGGAAGGACGACCCAGACCCUCAAGUCCAGAGGUUCAAAGGCCGGACCAUCCUCAACCGCCAGAACCUGAAGGAUGGAAUCGUUUCCCUCACACUGACCAACAUCACCAAGAAGGAUGAAGGAAACUACUCCUUCUGUCUUCGUACGCAGAAGCCGUUCAUGUGUUCUGAUGUCACCUUGACAAAGAUUCUACAGACGGACAAUACGACACACGACCUUCCAGGAUCUGCUCUGAGCUCUGGUGGUAUCGCUGCCAUUGUUGUUGUUUCUGCUGUUGUUGGGGGGAUCCUGGCAUUUAUAUAUUAUAGGAGAAACAGAUUCUGCUUCCAUCGAGGUGAGAACCAUGUUUAAGUCAUUCAUCCAUUUGUUCAGAUAAAAUGAAAACAUAGUUUUAUUUCUUAUUUUAUCCUCAUUUUUAAUCAAGUGAUGAUUUUUAGACUAAAUUUAUCCUCUAAACUAAACUGUACUGAGAUCAAGGUUCUGUAGAAAGAGACUGACUGAAAACUUUGGUUCUGCUUUGCUGUCAGAGUUCAUCACUUUAGUUUGUUUAGAAAAAGUUUGUCUAGAAAAAGUUGAAGAAAACCAGAAAAAAACAAAGUUCAUCAGAAUGUCUUGAUGCUGUUUUUGUGAAAGCUGCUGUAACAGAAUGACAGCAUGCAGAUGAAAUGAUGACCAUGAGUUUUUGUCCUAAAGUGAAUGCUCCCUCUCUGCAGGAAGAGGAGGAGGAACUCUGAGAUUUGAACCAAACUGUGAGGAAAGGGUGCUAACCACUACACCACUGAGCAGCCCAGCACUUACGGAGCAAAAAA